rnacentral:rRNA from 1 species
GCCUAAAGCGUCCGUAGCCGGCUCUGUAAGUUUCCGGUUAAAUCCAUUAGCUUAACUGAUGGGCCGCCGGAAAAACUGCAAAGCUAGGGAGUGGGAGAGGUAGACGGUACUCGGUAGGAAGGGGUAAAAUCCUUUGAUCUAUUGAUGACCACCUGUGGCGAAGGCGGUCUACCAGAACACGUCCGACGGUGAGGGAUGAAAGCUGGGGGAGCAAACCGGAUUAGAUACCCGGGUAGUCCCAGCUGUAAACUAUGCAAACUCAGUGAUGCAUUGGCUUGUGGCCAAUGCAGUGCCGCAGAGAAGUCGUUAAGUUUGCCGCCUGGGAAGUACGUACGCAAGUAUGAAACUUAAAGGAAUUGGCGGGGGAGCACCACAAGGGGUGAAGCCUGCGGUUCAAUUGGAGUCAACGCCAGAAAUCUUACCCGGGGAGACAGCAGAAUGAAGGUCAAGCUGAAGACUUUACCAGACAAGCUGAGAAGUGGUGCAUGGCCGUCGCCAGCUCGUGCCGUGAGAUGUCCUGUUAAGUCAGGUAACGAGCGAGAUCCCUGCCUCUAGUUGCCACCAUUACUCUCAGGAGUAGUGGGGCGAAUUAGCGGGACUGCCGCAGUUAAUGCGGAGGAAGGAGGGGGCCACGGCAGGUCAGUAUGCCCCGAA